GAGUGAACACAGCUCUUUUAGAAUUUUUCUAGCAGGAUUUCUGACUUUGGUCAGAAAAGACCAAA
rnacentral:snRNA from 1 species